GAUCUCAACAGUCCCUUCAAGCCUCCACCAGGCAGUGUGAGGAUGCCUAACAUACCCAAUACACAACCAGCAAUAAUGAAACCAACAGAGAAACAUCCAGUUUAUACGCUGAUUGCAAAAAAACAUGCAUUGGCCCAAGCUGAACUUAAACACCAGGAAGAAGUAGAAAGAAAAGAUGCAGAAUUAGUCAUCGGGAAUGAGAAAUGCAAAACCUCACUCAACAUGGUAGAAAAAAUAAUUGGCCACUUCUUCUUAGCAAUUUUCCUAUAGAACCUUGUUUCUAUCAGGAUUUUUCUGUUGACAUUCCUAUAGAAUUCCAAAAGACAGUAAAGCUUAUAUACUACUUGUGGAUGUUCCAUGCUGUAACACUAUUUCUAAAUAUCUUCAGAUGCUUGUCUUGGUUUUGUGUUGAUUUUGCAAGAGUGGUUGAUUUUAGUUUGAGUAUCCUGUGGUUCUUGCUUUUUACUCCUUGUUAAUUUGUCUGUUGGUACAGAUCACUUUAUGGAGCUUUCAGGAGUGGCAGUUCAUUCAGACUCUUUGUAUUCUUCUUCGUCUAUAUUUGUUAGUUUGCUGUACAUGCAUUCCAGGCAUAUGAAAUUGGGGUAAUUGUGGUUGAGUUUCAACCCUUACUGUUCUCAACCAAAAUAUUCCUAUUGGAAUCAGGAUGAUAAUCACAGCAGCACUUUUCGCAGCAUCAGCAGCCAUCUCACUAGUUAUGUUUUUAAAAGAUGAUGGCCUCCAG
rnacentral:lncRNA from 1 species